rnacentral:lncRNA from 1 species
UCUUAAGCCUGUUAAUGCUAGUUGUACUCGUUAUUGCAAUUACGUAUUUGAAAAAAUUAUGUGAAUUGAUGAAAUAAGAAGGUAAAGAGUUGUUUCUAUGAAAAUUUUGUGGAAUGCUUCUGAAAAACUGAAAGACAAGCAGCUAAAAAUACUUGGAUAAAUGAGAUGUGGAUGAGACAACUGUAGGAAAAGAAAGAAAGAAAGAAAGAAAUUAGUAUACACAUUCAGAGGGUUCUGUGCUCAGUUUGCCUUACCGUAUACUGUGAAACUGAAGCUAUAUUAAUACACUCUCGUAAGGAGACAGGUCGAGUCAGCCCUGAUGGCCUAGUGGUUAAAGUUUGAUGCUCUUACCCCUUCGGUGGCCAGGUUUCCUUUCCUAGUCACGGAACCACACCACCUGUCAGUUGCCAUGCUGUGGCCACAGCUCAUGUAGAAGAUCUGGAAGGACUUACACCUAGGAUAUACAACCAUGCACUGGGGGUUUGGGGAGGAAAAUAAAAAAAGAGAGGCACGUUGAGUUGACACCUGCAAUCAGGGCUAUUACUUGAUUGGGCUUGCAGUAGUCUAUGGUCAUUCUCCAGGAUUCAUCCAAUUUUUGCAGGGGGCAGACAGGUAAAUUAAAUGGAGGUAUGAUAGGGACCAUGUAUUAGGGUUCUUCAGAGAAACAGAACCAAUAGGAUAUAUGUAAAAAUAGAUUUAUUAUAAGGAACUGGCUCAUUCAAUUAUAGAGGCUGAGAAGUCCCAAGAUCUAUGGUCAGUAAGCUGGAGACCCAGGAGAGCUGAUAGUAUAGUUCCAGUCCAUGGCUCAAUCCAAAGGCAGGAGAAGACUGAUGUCCCGACUCAAAGACAGUCAGGCAGAGAGAGCAAAUCUCCCUUACUCAACCUUUUUGUUUAUGCAGGCCUUCAAUAGAUUGGAUGAGGCCCACCCACAUUGAGGGGGGUAGUCUGCUCAGUCUACCGAUUCAAAUGUUAAUCUCAUCCAGAAACACCCUCACAGACACACCCAUAACAUUUAACCAAAUAUCUAGGCACCCUGAGGCCCAGUCAAGUUGACACAUAAAAUUAACCAUCACAGAACUCCACCCAGACACCCCUGUGAUCUUUAUGAGUGGCACUAAUCUCUCCUAUUCACACCCAAAAUAUGAUAUAUUGCUUUUGGUUUAUUUUGUCUCAAGUGGGCUGAGUAUCAGUUUCCAAGACUUCUCUUUGGCCUUCCCCACUGUAACAGCUCUCAUUUCAGGAACUAAAACCCAAUCUGGGGAUUACUCCUGCUGCCAAGUAUGUUAAUCACAAUCGUAACUUAAGCGACUGAGGAAAUGACCACUAGCUGUUGCCAUGGACCCAGAGUACCUGCUCUGAGCCAGGAUUUGGCCAGGACUACAUCUGGCCUCUGUAUGUUCCUACUCUUAAUGGGGAGGCCAAGAUGAUACUCUGGGUUUCUGAGUAUUAAUGUUAAUUUAGACCCUAUGUCUAAUGUUCCCUGAAAUGUCUAGAUACUCCCCUUUUCUCAGUGUAUAGUCACCUGAGAAAAGGGCAUAGUACCCUUUGGGAAAAGACUAGAAGAAUCAUUACAAUAUAUACUUGCCCUAAUGUUGUGGGGUCCUUUCCUCCAGGACUUGGCCACGUCUACAGUCAAUGGGUUCUGGGUCUGAAAAUUGGCUCAGAUCUGGGAACUGGACAAGGGAUCAUGACACUUUUUAUUGUAGUGACCUCCCUCGGUCUCCUUAGCCACUCUUGUUUUCUUUGAUUACAUAUAUUAGGCAGUACCCUUGUUGCCUGCCCAUCUAUUUGUCCCCUGGGGACACUGGGUUCUUUAAAACAUCUCCACUUCUCUUUCUAGGUCAAGCUCCAUUGGUUUUCACUCUGAUUUUGCCAGUCAUUAUAAUAAUUGUGACUACUCUGACUUCUGGCAUUAAAUUCUACCUCCUGGAUCUACUGUACUUCUGGACCCCAUCAUUCCCACUGCUAUUAACAAGCCAACCCUCUGUGAUAGCAUCUCCUGAGCCCUGGCCCUCAAAGGUAAGUACAGAGAGAAGACCUUGUGAAGCCUGAGGGAGAAGAUGGCCAUCAACAAGCCAAGGAGAGAGGCCUCAGAAGAAAUCAACCCUGUUGACACCUUGAUCUUGGGCUUCUAGCAUCACAGAACUCUGAAAAAAUAAAUUUCUGUUGUCUAAGCCACCUGGUCUGUGGUACUUUACUAUGGCAGACCUAGAAAACUAAUAUAGCAAGUGACCCAAGAAAGC